GCUGUCAAGACCGUUCUGCUCAUGCGCGUGUUUCGUUUACAUUUCUUGUUUCAAACAAUAGAUAAUUUAAUAUUAAAAUUCCGAUCUGUGGACCAACAGAUCGGAAUUUUAUUUAAAUUAUCUAUUGUUUGAAACAAAAAAUGUAAACAAAACACACGCAUGAGCAGAAAGGACUUGACAGC